AUACGUAGGUGGCAAGCGUUGUCCGGAAUUAUUGGGCGUAAAGCGCGCGCAGGCGGUCCUUUAAGUCUGAUGUGAAAGCCCACGGCUCAACCGUGGAGGGUCAUUGGAAACUGGGGGACUUGAGUGCAGAAGAGGAAAGUGGAAUUCCAAGUGUAGCGGUGAAAUGCGUAGAGAUUUGGAGGAACACCAGUGGCGAAGGCGACUGUCUGGUCUGUAACUGACACUGAGGCGCGAAAGCGUGGGGAGCAAACAGGAUUAGAUACCCUGGUAGUCCACGCCGUAAACGAUGAGCGCUAAGUGUUGGGGGGUUUCCGCCCCUCAGUGCUGCAGCUAACGCAUUAAGCACUCCGCCUGGGGAGUACGGUCGCAAGACUGAAACUCAAAUGAAUUGGCGGGG
rnacentral:rRNA from 1 species